UUGCCACCAGCCGCGGUAAUACGUAGUUGGCAAGCGUUAUCCGGAAUUAUUGGGCGUAAAGCGCGCGCAGGUGGUUUCUUAAGUCUGAUGUGAAAGCCCACGGCUCAACCGUGGAGGGUCAUUGGAAACUGGGAGACUUGAGUGCAGAAGAGGAAAGUGGAAUUCCAUGUGUAGCGGUGAAAUGCGUAGAGAUAUGGAGGAACACCAGUGGCGAAGGCGACUUUCUGGUCUGUAACUGACACUGAGGCGCGAAAGCGUGGGGAGCAAACAGGAUUAGAUACCCUGGUAGUCC
rnacentral:rRNA from 1 species